AGUGAACGCUGGCGGUAGGCCUAACACAUGCAAGUCGAACGGCAGCACAGUAAGAGCUUGCUCUUACGGGUGGCGAGUGGCGGACGGGUGAGGAAUACAUCGGAAUCUACUUUUUCGUGGGGGAUAACGUAGGGAAACUUACGCUAAUACCGCAUACGACCUACGGGUGAAAGCAGGGGAUCUUCGGACCUUGCGCGAUUGAUUGAGCCGAUGUCGGAUUAGCUAGUUGGCGGGGUAAAGGCCCACCAAGGCGACGAUCCGUAGCUGGUCUGAGAGGAUGAUCAGCCACACUGGAACUGAGACACGGUCCAGACUCCUACGGGAGGCAGCAGUGGGGAAUAUUGGACAAUGGGCGCAAGCCUGAUCCAGCCAUACCGCGUGGGUGAAGAAGGCCUUCGGGUUGUAAAGCCCUUUUGUUGGGAAAGAAAAGCAGCAGGUUAAUACCCCGCUGUUCUGACGGUACCCAAAGAAUAAGCACCGGCUAACUUCGCG
rnacentral:rRNA from 1 species